rnacentral:lncRNA from 1 species
GAUCAACAGGAAAGUAAAGUUGCAGAUCAAGGUCAACAAUUGGAUCAUGAUCAAAGUUGUUAUCGACUACGAAUUUCAAAAACGUUAAGGUGUUGGUCCUAUUAGAGUGGAAUUGGUGGAUGAUGAUGCUGGCUGGAGAUGCUGAACGUGACAGUUUUGUAAAUUCGGAAUCUAAGGUUAGAUUUAGAAAAGAUUUGGAGACGGUUUUGACGUAUAGGAGUGUGGUAGGAGGUAAUGUAGAGAGAAUUUGUAACAAGAUUGGAGAUGGAAGAUCCAUCAGGGAUGUUGCUUUACUUCACUCAUUUCUUACAAAAAGUCUUAGCGCUGAUAUUUUGCUAUUUAUAGCAAGUGGCUCGGUGAGUUUGAUCAUAAAAAUUAUUCAUAUUUCAACUCUAUCUUCUAUAUUUAAGUAUAAUAUUCAAACAGUUUUCCGGUCAAACUUGCACAACACGCAUUCAGUAUUAAAGGUAAACAAACAGUUAUAUUGUGGCAACAUGACAAGAGUAAAGCGCAAGCAUAUUUGAAAUAAAAAGACUAUUAUAUAUUGUCUUUAAUUUGACUAUCGAUUAAAUAAAAAGAGAAUGUUAUCAACUUAUUUGCAAGCAAAGUUCAUUUAUUAAUUUCCAAUUACCUUAAGUUUCCAUCAAGAGUACGUUCAGUGGGUCUCAUGUGUAUACGUUCAGGUAAGGGAAUGCACCAAGCUCAAAAAAAGGAUCUUUAGCCCCAUUUCUUGUUGUUUUUCUGAGUUCUAUCGAUUAUUUUCAAUCUCGUUUCAUUCUCUUAUUAAUUUGAUCUAAAUAUCAUGUCUACGUCCUUUACCUUUCCAAAAAAUGCCUUUGUUCUACAUUAUUAAUGGUAGAAUAAAAUAUAUCUCGAUUGAACUAAUAUAUUCAAUUUUAAUAUGAUUUUUAUUAACGAAAAAGUAUGUGAUUACAUAAUUUUUAUUCUUUUUAUAUAUAUAUAUACUAGAUUCACUGCACGUGCGUUGCACGUGUAGGCUAAGUCCUGAGAUCCCUAUACACGAGAUAUUUUAUCUUUUAAUGUAUAUUUUAGGUUUUCAACAUAUCAAUAUAUAUUUAAUAUUGCACUACGUCAUACUAAGUGAAUGGCNNNNNNNNNNNNNNNNNNNNNNNNNNNNNNNNNNNNNNNNNNNNNNNNNNNNNNNNNNNNNNNNNNNNNNNNNNNNNNNNNNNNNNNNNNNNNNNNNNNNUGUUUCCGAAUAAAUUUAAAAGGGUAUCCUUCAUUUUAGCGGGGGGAAGGGAGUGAUAGUUGUAUUGUUAGAGUAAACACUUGGCUUGUAGCAUAUUGACAUGUUGUUUUUUUUUGCAUGUAUUACAUUCUCGUCAGAGCCUCUACAAAUCAACCAUGUCCCAUUGCAUAAGCCAUUUGAGGGGUCCAAUUUUCUCAGCAGCAUGAUGGGUGCAUUUUCUUUCAAAACUAACCUAAUGUAUAAAAUUAACAAAAUUAUCAAUUGUUAUGUAUAUGUAAUAGGGUAAUUCUUUUCUUCUCUUUCGUGCUAUUAAGUAUCACAAUAAGAUAACUGUAAAAGUUAGGAUGAAUUAGACAACGUCCCUAUGCGGCGGAGUCCAUUGGGUGUUAAGGUGUUUAGGUAUAAAUACAAUUCAUAUCUUUACUGAGGUCGAUUCUAUGUAGUCUUGCACGCUACAACCUAGUAAAUAUUUGGCCGCUUCAAAUAGUAUAGCUCGGGCACGUUGUUCUCCACCACACACUUCAAGUCGUAAGCAAUAUCUGUUUAAAAAGGGGAGUCAUUUAAAAGUUAAAGUUAAUUUGUUUUCUAAUUAGUAAAUGUAGAAUCGAUUUUUUACUAAGUCUAACCUCAUUUCAUAUUCUACGUCGCAAUUGUUAAUUCUAAGCGUUAUUGUGUAUUAGUACCAUUGAUGAGGGCGACAAAUGGUCAAGAUCAGCAUGAUUAGGCAGGAAUUUGAUGCAUAAAAGAGGGUAUCAUUAAGAUGUAAAGUGCGGCUAAACUAAGGUUAGAAGUAACAUAUAUAUGUAAAGUAUGUGUUUAAAAUAGCCAGGGGACUGUAUAUGAUCAGGUGAACCAAUAAUAGGCUGUAUAAGUAAUGCUUCACGGGGAAGAAACAAAGUUAAUUAGUGGUGUAAAGUAUGUGUUUACAAUUUCCAGGGGACUGUAUGCAAGCAUGUGAACUAAUUAUUAUAUAUUUGCAUUAAUAAAAAUAUUUAUCUCAUAAAAUUAGCUAUUAAAUAAAUAAUAAAAAUUAAACUAAUACAAACUUAGACUUGCGUUAUUACAAGUCAUAUGAACUUUUCUUUGUCUAAAAUACAAAAAAUAUUAAGAAAUAGUAAAUAAGUUAAACAAAAGGUCAAUGUUUACAUAGUAAUAACUAUUUUGAAGAAAACUUUCUAAGAGUCUAAAUCACAUAAGUAGCAUUGAUAAAUAAAGUAAUUCUUUUGUCGUGAGCGUCAAAAACAAAUCGUGACAAUUCUCUAAAUUUUGAAAAAAGAUAUUCAGAAGCAUAUAUCUACAUCACAAGAGAAAUUGUUAAUAAAAACAAAUGAAUUUAGACUACAUAAUACAUGUUAACUUCAUUUAUUGGAACAUUACAUACUAAUGUAUAUAUUAAGCAAAAAAAUAAUUAUUAUUUCAUAAAAAUUAUACUUAUUAUUUUCCUCAAGUACUCGAUGUUAUGAAAUAUACCUUCUAAGAUGGAACGACUUACUUCAUCAGAAUAGUGGUACCUCAUAUUCUGCUAAACUUCGAACUCACUCAACGAUAAUAAAUCACACAAAAAAUUUUAAAAUGCAAGAAGAAGAAGAGGAAUAGAAGAUUAGAAAAAAAUAUGGUUGAAAAAUGAGAGAAAGUCCCUCUAUUUAUAAUCAACAAAAGAUAGUAUGAACAAAUGUUUUUUGUUUCUUAUCUGAAAAAUCAUGACCUUUUCGAGAAAUCACAACACUUUGAAAAAAGACACAACUUUUUUGAAAAAGUCACAAUUCUUUGGAAAAGUCUCAACUUAUUGAAAAUGUCACAACUUUUUGGAAAAGUCACAACGCACCGAAAAAUCACAAUCCUUUGAAAAAAAUCACAACUCGUCGAAAAAGUCACAGGUCGUCGAAAAAGUCACAACCUAAGUUAGAGCUAUUAUAUUUAAAAAACAAUUUGAAAUAUCUUAUAUAUGUUAUGAACAUAUAUCAUUUAUAAUUUAUUUAUGAAAAUAAAAACGUUCAAGACGAAGAUAUUUAUUGAGUUUUUAUGUAUAUGAGUGUCUCACAAUUCAGACUAGAAAUGUUACUGUCUCUUUCUUAUAGGCCAAAAUAGUAAAUUUUGAAGCUUUAUUCACAAUAAAUUUAGUGUUUGAAAGUUUGGUAUUUUUUUUUAACUAAAAGACUAGAAAUUUCUAUAAUGUUAGUUGUUUUAACUAUUUUUUGUUUUGGAUAAAUUAUUAUCUAUUUUCCCUCUUUAAAAUGAAUCGUUUUUUAAAUUUUUGUGUAUGAUUAAUAACUAAACCAAGCCCAACUGAAACCAUUAACACAAACCGAGCUAUUUGCUAAAGUUCCCCAAUAUAUAUUAUAUUUAACUUAAUUUGAAUAAGUUAACAAUCAAUUAAUUUAAUUUAAUUUAAUUUUAAAUUUUAACCAAUAAUCGACCCAAAUUAACAUGGGAACACCCCUUGCCUACAGUCCUACACAGAUAAACAGACAGUGAAAAACACGUUUGGAUAAAGAAAAAAGAGUACAUUUUCCGUUCAAUCAUUCGGUAAUUUCCAGUAAAUUUUCAUGAUUUCAAAUGUUGGUUGAUUAAUCCCUCUAUUACAUAUUAACUGAAUUGUGAGAAAAUAUAUAUUGAUUCAGAAAAACAUUCAACAGUAUAAUUUAUCUCCCACAAAAUAUUGAACUUUAUUAAAGGAAUACACAAAUAUAAAAAAAAUUCAAAUAUCCAAAAAAAAAAAGCCCAAAAAUUGAGUUAAUAUGGAAUGGUAAGAGUAUGAUUUAGAGGCUCAGAUCUGCAAAGAGAUCAGGACGAAAGAGAGGCGACCACGCCAUGGCUGCAAAAUCAUCAACCAUCUGGUGAUUUGCUAAGCCAAGAUACGGAUCUGAUAGUCUCCAUCACCGCCUCUAAUUUUAUGCAAAAUCAACCAACAUACAUGCAGAGAGUAACAGAGACAAAAAAGACCAGAUUAUUGGCAAGUUGAGGAAUAUAGUAGUAUAUGUAUAUUUGCCAUUUCAAUGAUCCAGUAAUUUCCCAGAAAUUAACAUGAAUCCAAGGGUUGUUGCUUCUUCUUUUUUGGGGAAAAAUCAUUGGCUAAACAAGAGAGGGGCAACCACCCUUGUUAACAAAAUUCCUAAACUCUCUGUUUUGCCUCUUUUUUUUGUUUUUGUUUUCUGGGAUAACUUUUUCUUUGCUGGAAAAGUUGUUUGGUUCUCAAUACACACUUUUUUUAACAAUAAUCUAAAAGACAUUCAUAACCUCUGCUUCAAAGUUCUUGAGAGAAAAGGAGCUUGAUACAUGGCUAGAUGCCAAGAAGUUCCCUUCACAUACAUCAAGCCUUUUCAAAGUUUUCUUCACAGGAUGGUGCAAGAACAAGAAAUCAUCGCGCCACAAGAACAACACCUCUCCAUCAUCCAAAACUUUCAACAGAUUAAUCAUUUCAUAGCACAACCAAUAAUUGUUGCAUUCAGGAGAAAUGUUUAUCACAAUCUGUUUAACCCAUGAAUCAGUAACUCCGUAUUCUUUCAUCACCCAUACCUCAAAAUGAGUAUCUGCAUUAUUAUCACACACACAUAAACAACGUCCAAACUUCGUAAAUUUGGACAAUUUUCCUUACUGUACCCUGGAGCAGCAGUUGGGAAUGAUUCAAACAACUCAUUCUCCAAAUUAAACGAACAUAUUAACUCAUUUUGAUUAGCAUCAGAAACCAACCAAUGAAGUUUUCCAUAUAGAUUCACCCUGUAUGCCCUGCAUCCAAAACAGAACAUGAUAUGUUCUACACUAUUUCUCCAAUACCCUUUCCCAAUUGUGUAAACUUGAGCUUCAGACUUGUAAUAACGAAAACCAUUAGUAUCAUCAUCGUGAAUCUCCUCUUGGUAAAUUCUUACCACUUUGUACUCAAACCUAACAGGAUCGAAACCAAAGCCAUAAGUAACUAAAUUAGGCCAUUUUCGUACCCCUUGUGGCUGAGGAAUGAUGAUAUAUUCUCUGGUUGUUGGAUUGAGGAUGUAAAUACUAUCGACAUCACCGAAAAAGUUAUUAAAACAAACGAAACCAUGAACCGAUCCAACGAGGAAAAAUCGAUCAAUAGGAAAGUAAAGUUGUAGAUCAAUGUCAUCAAUUGGAUCAUGAUCAAAGUUAUCGACUACGAAUUUCAAAAACUUUAAGGUGUUGGUCCUAGGAGUUGUCCUAUUAGAGUGGAAUUGGUUGAUGAUGAUGCUGGCUGGAGAUGCUGAACGUGACAGUUUUGUAAAUUCGGAAUCUAAGGUUAGAUUUAGAAAAGAUUUGGAGAGGGUUUUGACAUAUAGGAGUGUGGUAGGAGGUAAUGUAGAGAGAAUUUGUAACAAGAUUGGAGAUGGAAGAUCCAUCAGGGAUGUUGCUUCUUCACUCAUUUCUUACAAAAGUCUUAGCGCUGAUAUUUUGCUAUUUAUAGCAAGUGGCUCGGUGAGUUUGAUC